AUUGAACGCUGGCGGCAGGCUUAACACAUGCAAGUCGAGCGGAGCGAGGGUGCUUGCACCUUAGCUUAGCGGCGGACGGGUGAGUAAUGCUUAGGAAUCUGCCUAUUAGUGGGGGACAACAUUCCGAAAGGAAUGCUAAUACCGCAUACGCCCUACGGGGGAAAGCAGGGGAUCUUCGGACCUUGCGCUAAUAGAUGAGCCUAAGUCGGAUUAGCUAGUUGGUGGGGUAAAGGCCUACCAAGGCGACGAUCUGUAGCGGGUCUGAGAGGAUGAUCCGCCACGCCGGGACUGAGACACGGCCCAGACUCCUACGGGAGGCAGCAGUGGGGAAUGUUGGACAAUGGGAGGAAGCCUGAUCCAGCCAUGCCGCGUGUGUGAAGAAGGCCUUUUGGUUGUAAAGCACUUUAAGCGAGGAGGAGGCUCUUAAGGUUAAUACCCUUGAUGAGUGGACGUUACUCGCAGAAUAAGCACCGGCUAACUCUGUGCCAGCCGCCGCGGUAAAAC
rnacentral:rRNA from 1 species